CUUGUCGCGAGCGCGCACGCAGUUCGGAGAGAGGCCGUCCAACUUUUUGAAUUCAUAUUUAAAACGACAAUAACCGUUUCCCAAAGUCUAUUUAAAGCUGCGCCAAAAAAUAGGAACCUUCACUUGCCUUUUUUUUGGGUCUGUCUCCUGCAACGGUUAGACCGAAAUGAUACAUUUACAACGGCACGGCCGCUCGAAUUUAGAAAAAUGACGAUCAUACAAAGUAGGUCUGUCAAUGUAGGCGGAGUGGAAUGCGUUCUUUAUAUUUUAAGAAAAAGCCUUAAGUGCGUUUAAAACAGCGAACUGUGAAUAAAAUGUAAUUUUCUACAGAGUGCAGUACGGAGCGGACCUUUUUUUUAGUGAUGUUACGGUGCGGACAGGUUUAGAUGGCCUCCAUCCACCCUUUACGUUCCUUCACAUGUUUCACAGCUGCUGCCCAGUGACUAAGUGAAUUGGCAAUAUAUUGUUUUAAAAGUCAUUGGAAUGAUCACUCCACGCUGUCACAUAGGAGCGGGGAUGUUGAAAGAACGCUGGUCAACCAGAUACAACUGAUGAUCUUUGAAGCAAAAAACCUAAACGUGCCCAAGGGAAAAAAGCAAUGAUAUUUAAGCAAAGAUGGAAAAGAACUGCAGUCUGCCCAGACAAGCAAUAGGUGGAAGAGUAAGAUGUAAGAUGACAGUGAUGAUGAAUACACCCCGUCACUUAUCACACUUGAUCUCUCACUGUCUCUUAGCUAACAGCUCAUACACUGAUACUGCACAUAAUUUGGAUAGCUUAUAAGUGAGAUAUGUACAUGUUGAGGCAUGUGCAUAACUGGUUGGUAGCCAGAUCAGGGGACAAGGAUAUUGCAGGUUGAGUUUAUGAUGCUGGAAAAGCACAGCAAAUCAGGCAGCAUCCGAGAAGCAAGAGAAUCUGUUUCAGGCAAAAGACAUUCCUGAUGAAGGGCUUUUGCCUGAAACAUUGAUGUUCCUGCUCCUCGGAUGCUGCCUGAUGACCUGCUGUGCUUUUCCACCUAAGGAUAUUGCAGGUGCCAGACUCCCCAAGGGCAUAUUCUUUUGCCUACGACUCGUGCACUUUUUGGGACAUCAUCUUUGCACCACAAGAAUCCCUUGCUAAUAAAUAUAUAUCAAUUGUGUUAUUUAUAUUCAGGUGGUGGAUAUUAAUUGUGAUCUCACUUGUGGUCAUUUGUGUAUGACUCCUGUUCUGGUUUCUUGUGUUCUAAGACAGCAUUCAUCCAUCCAGCACUUCUAUUCUGCCAGAUGUUUGACUCAUUUGUCAACUAGAUUGAAGCAAUGCUGAUUACGAGGCAGAAUGAAGUUGUGCUUCUUGAACAAGAAUGGCAAGACAGCCUUCACAUCCACCAGCAUACACCACAAGAUUAAAGCAAAGACAAAUGGAAUGUUGGUCUUUCUUUAGAAGAAAUUAGAGUUUAAAAUAGUAAGGUCUUGCUAAAUCAAUAAAAGGCAAUUAUCUGACCACAUAUUGUGAAUAGUUUUGGGGCACCUUUUAAUCAAGGAAAAGAUAUAUUGGCAUUAUAGGCAAUCCAAAGAAGGUUUAUUAGGCUGAUCCUGAAUAUGGAGGGACUUUAUUAUGAGAAGUUGAGCCUAAAUUUAUUGCAGUGGGGGUGGGGAAAGAGGUGACCUCAUUGAAGUAUACAUGAUUCUUGACAAAUUUUGUGCUGGCCUUCUACACAGUUGACCUCUUGUUCCUCCUUUGCUUCCAACACAAGUAUAAAAAUGAACCUAUUUUCCAAUAAUUUUUCAGUUUUUAAGAAAAGCAGCUCUGAACAAGAGUCAUUCUGGACUGAAAGUUAAAUUUUCUUUUUUCACAUGUGUGCCAAAUCAGCUGAGUUUCUCCAGCAUUGUGUUUGCUUAAGAUUUGCUUAAGUUUAGAUGUGGAAAAGUUGUUUCUCCUUGUGUCUAGGACCAGAUAGCACAAUCUCAUAAUUAAGGUCUUUAUGAUCAUUAACGGUCCUCAAGCCUCAACUCAUCACCUGAUUGUUUUUUUUAAUCCAUUGAACCACAAGUGACCAUGCCUUUAGAUUCUAAGUCAGCA